UACGUAGGGUGCAAGCGUUGGUCCGGAAUUAUUGGGCGGUAAAGGCUCGUAGGCGGUCCAUCACGUCGGAGUGAAAGCUGGGGCUUAACCCCAGUCCUGCUUCCGAUGACGGUGGACUGAGGUAGGCGGGAGAACGAAUUCCUGGUGUAGCGGCUGAAGUGACGCAGAGUAUCUAGGAGGAACACCGGUGGCGAAGGCGGUCUCUGGCCUUACCUGACGCUGAGGAGCGAAAGCCGUGGGGGAGCAAACAGGA
rnacentral:rRNA from 1 species